rnacentral:rRNA from 1 species
UACGGAAGGUCCGGGCGUUAUCCGGAUUUAUUGGGUUUAAAGGGAGCGUAGGCCGGAGAUUAAGCGUGUUGUGAAAUGUAGACGCUCAACGUCUGCACUGCAGCGCGAACUGGUUUCCUUGAGUACGCACAAAGUGGGCGGAAUUCGUGGUGUAGCGGUGAAAUGCUUAGAUAUCACGAAGAACUCCGAUUGCGAAGGCAGCUCACUGGAGCGCAACUGACGCUGAAGCUCGAAAGUGCGGGUAUCGAACAGGAUUAGAAACCCUAGUAGUGACUGACU